rnacentral:rRNA from 1 species
ACGGGAGGCAGCAGUGAGGAAUAUUGGUCAAUGGACGGAAGUCUGAACCAGCCAAGUAGCGUGAGGGAUGACUGCCCUAUGGGUUGUAAACCUCUUUUGUCGGGGAAUAAAGUGUGCCAUGUAUGGUAUUUUGCAUGUACCCGUCGAAUAAGGAUCGGCUAACUCCGUGCCAGCAGCCGCGGUAAUACGGAGGAUCCGAGCGUUAUCCGGAUUUAUUGGGUUUAAAGGGAGCGUAGGCGGAAGGUCAAGUCAGCUGUGAAAUGUAGUCGCUCAACGUCUGCACUGCAGUUGAAACUGGCCUCCUUGAGUGCGUAAGAGGCGGGUGGAAUUCGUCGUGUAGCGGUGAAAUGCUUAGAUAUGACGAAGAACUCCGAUUGCGAAGGCAGCUCGCUGGGCCGCAACUGACGCUGAAGCUCGAAAGCGUGGGGAGCAAACAGGAUUAGAUACCCUGGUA